UCUAUUCAACUGAUAGCAGCCGCCUCUUCUGGGGAGAGCAGAUCUUUCAGAAAGCACUGGCUGCGCUGCUAAUCAAACGCAACAUUGUUCUCAGCAAGGAGGAAGAAUGGAAAGGUUUGUUUCAGAGUCACAACUUUAUUUUUUUUAAAAGGCACCCAAGUUGUUUUAACAAGUUGCUACAAAACUUGGGCUUCCUGAGUGGAGGCUGUUUUGCACAGUGCAUGUACUGUACAAAAAUCCAGGCAGGGAGGGAUCAGAAAGUUAGUCAUUAAAGAAAAAAAAAAAAAAAAGCCCCAGGCACUUGAUGCCUGGAAAUGAUGUCAGACGCAGCCACUCCUCUGUUAGAACUACAACAAAACAAUGCGCAGGCAAUCCACAGCAGCUGCCCCUGCAAAUGUCAGCGCUAGCCCAGUCAAAAGAGCUUGAAACCUACCAAGCCGGAGGACUGUGCUGUGCCUCUCUCGCCCACAUUUUCCCCAGGCACUCUCAGGAACCUGGCAACAGGUAACGUGGCAACCUUUGACUUAUAAAAGGGCAAGUGGCACAAUCUCAGGGAACAAGUGGACUUUUUUUAAAAGCCAGCAUGUCCCCCACCACUCCCACACCCCACUCCCUCCCUCCCAACCAAGUCUGUAAAAAACAAAACAUUGACGCGGGCAGUCCUACUCUCGAGUGUCCCCUUGUGGCCAAGCCUGGAACAUCACAUCCGUACAUUGCAAUCUGUGGAUCAGCUACGAGACUGAGAGAAAGGAAUUAAAGGAUGGAAGAAUUACAAGAUCAGGCACUGUUGUCUGUCUGAUCCACGGAUGUAACCACAGCACACGCACGGCUCACAGUACUAGUGUGAUAAAUACUUGUUACGUGAAGGCAUUUACAGGGAUGAGAAGAGACUUCCUGGAGAAACAAAAGGGACUAACAAUCAGGAAAGGGAGGUGAUCGGGGCAGGAGUCAAGUGGACACCUCAGCAAAGCCAUUCGCUGUGAUCUCUGAUGGUGCAGUGUCAUGUCCUGUCACCAGAGCCCCCUCGUGUUUGAUGUUGGCCAAUCCCGCCAACGUGAUCUAGCAGGCCAAAUCCUAAUCUACCAUUCUCUGACACCAGCUGGUCCCUUGGGUUAUCCACCUGAUAUCCCCCAUUCUCCCCACUUGGCCUCCCCUACAGGCCCUCGGCAAAGGACCGUGGGAGGCACCUGUGACACUGCCCUUUUCCUGUGCAGCUGUUUUUCUUCUUCAUUCUUUUCACUCCUCGUUACUUUUUUUUUUUCAUGCUCAGCACACACAGAACUAGGAACUUUGUUAUUCUACUUAUUUUUCUGUACUCUGUCUGCUUGCACACAGAUGGAUAUCUGAGAGCGAGCGAACUUUCUUUACCUCCUAGUAUCAUUUCAUGAGAAUUAGUAGCAUCUGCACAAUGGGGCCUUGGAGACAGGAAUAAAAGGAAAAAUCUGGAAUGGAAUCACAUGACGCAACAGGCUCUGAAGACUCCCUGCCCGGCUGCCGUAUGUCUGGUAAACAGAAUAAAUAGCACUUGAGCAUCCCUGACCCUGAGACUGUGGAGUAGCUGGUUGUUUCUAGAUGGGACCAGGGUAUCGUGCACUUAUUGCCAAUUCAUCUUGCUUCAGUAAGUGGGGUGGCUGUGCAGAGUGAGUGGCCUGUGUAUGAACCAGGGUCCGUCCCAUCUAAUGAGUCCGGUCAGGCUGAGUCCUCACCAAGACUUCAGUGUGGAUUCAUCAGUAACCUUGGUUCACCGGCAGGCUCGCUGGACUUUGGAGAAAAGGCUGACCCUCCACCAAAGCAGCCCACUGCUGCCACCGCCCUAGGAACAGAGGGCCUGGAGCCAGGGCUUGACCUGGCACAGGAGCUUUUGCACAAGGCCGGCUCAAACCUCCAAACCUGGGAAAACAGGAUGCAUGGGGAAGUGAAGAAGAAAGAAAAUGCAUCCACCAUUCCUUCCUGUUGGUGUCAGCACGAUGAGGAAUAAUCACCUGGAUUUGGAAAGCAGGCGUGUGGGAGGCUGCAGGCCCCCCUGGUCUGUGUAGUUAGGCACUUAAUUUUUCAUCCUCCUCCUUUUCUCUGCCCUCCUGAAACGCCCAUUUUCAAAGGAAAAACAGAAAAAUGUAUCUGGGUUAACCUGUGUAAUACUGUUUACAUCAGUCCACUUGGCCCAGAAAGGAUACCAGCUCCUUACUGAUGCUCAGAUAACAGGGUUAGUGCUUAAAAAAAUUAUGCCUUGCGCCGGGCGCGGUGGCUCAUGCCUAUAAUCCCAGCACUUUGGGAGACCGAGGUGGGUGGAUCACAAGGUCAACAGAUCAACACCAUCCUGGCCAACCAACAUAGUGAACCCGUCUCUACUAAAAAUAUAAAAAUUAGCUGGGCGUAGUGGCGCAUGCCUGUAGUCCCAGCUGCUAGGGAGGCUGAGGCAGGAGAGUCGUUUGGGCCUGGCAGGCGGAGGUUGCAGUGAGCUGAGAUUGCGCCACACUGCACUCCAGCCCAGGCGGUGGAGCGAGUCUCCAUCUCAAAAAAAAAAAAAAAAAAAAUUCUGCCUCAUUCAUUAUCCAACUUUGUCACUGAUAGAGAAGGACAUAGAUCCAGAGAAGAACUUGUCCAGGUGACCCCAGGGCUCUUUCCCCAUCCAUUACUUUUUUUUUUUUUUUUGAGCCGGAGUCUGGCUCUGUUACCCAGGCUGGAGUAGAGUGUCACAAUCUUGGCUCACUGCAUCCUCUGUCUCCUGGGUUCAAGCUAUUCUCCUGACUCAUCCUCCCUAGUAGCUGGGAUUACAGGUGCGUGCCACCCCGCCCAGCUAAUUUUUGUAUUUUUAGUAGAGAUGAGGUUUUAACUUGUUAGCCAGGCUGGUCUUGGACUCUUGACAUCAAGCGAUCUGCCUGCCUUGGCCUCCCAAAGUGCUGGGAUUACGGCUGUGAGCCACCGCGCCCGGUCCCCUUCAUUACUCCUUAAGUGUCCCUUAAAGACUGUAUUUAUUUAUUUGAAACAGAGUCUUGCUCUGUCACCCAGGCUGCUGUGCAGUGGCGUGAUCUUGGCUCACUGCAACCUUCUGCCUCAGCCUCCUGAGUACCUGAGACUACAGGCGGGUGCCACCACACCCGGCUAAUGUUUGUCUUUUUGGUAGAGAUGGGGUUUCACCAUGUUGGCCAGGGUGGUCUCGAACUCCUGAUCUCAAGUGAUCCGCCCGCUUCAGCCUCCCAAAUUGCUGGGAUUACAGGUGUGAGCCACUGCACCCAGCAAAGACUGCAUUUAAAAUACUACCUUUCUGUUAGGUACUUGUCAUUUGCCAAAAUUAAAUAAAAACAAUCUAGGAACCUAGGAACCUGUGAAGUCAGUACUAAAAUCUAUACCAAUUUACCCUACAAACUCCCAUCCUCCUCCUCGUUGGUUGAGUGUUUAAUAAAGCCAGGCGCUUUACCUAUAGUCUCAUUAAAUUAAAAACAACCCUGCAUAGGAAGUCAGGAUCUCAAUUUUGCAGAUGAAAAGGAGGCUCAUCUGGGCAUGCCCAGCAAGUUCUGGAGAACGCCCCUUAAUGGAGUACUUGAAUUUGUCCGCAGAGAGAGGUGGCAUCACCGCACUGUAAAUAGUUUCCAAGGUCAAGUUUGGCUAGUGGCUUUUAGAAUUGUGGCAGAAGGAUGCCAUCCUACUCCCGCCUUCAGAGGCAUCUCAGGUUCUGGAGCUCUGUGCUAACUAAGCCUACCUGUGGAGGGUGGCAAUGGAGUGGUGACAGGUGUGCAAGGUUUCACAUCUUUAAGGAAAAGACAGCUCCAAGGACAGUUUUUUGGUUUGUUUGUUUGUUUGUUUUUGAGACAGAGUCUCACUCUGUUGUCAGGCUAUAGUGUAGUGGCGCGAUCUUGGCUCACUGCAACCUCCACCUCCCGGGUUCAAGCGAUUCCCCUGCCUCAGCCUCCCGAGUAGCUGGGACUACAGGAGGGCGCCACCACGCCCAGCUAAUUUUGAUAUUUUUAGUAGAGAUGUGGUUUCACCAUGUGGGCCAGGAUGGUCUCGAUCUCUUGACCUUGUGAUCCACCCACCUUGGCCUCCCAAAAUGUUGGGAUUACAGGCGUGAGCCACCAUUCCCAGCCAAUUUUUUUUUUUUUUAAAGAGACAAGGUCUUGCUCUGUUGCCCGAGCUGGAGUGCAGUGGCGUGAUCAUGGCUCACUGCAUCCUCUAACUCCUGGGCUCAAGCGAUCCUCCCACUUUAGCCUCCGGAAUAGCUGGAACCACAAGCGCACACCACCACAUCCAGCUAAUUUUUAAAAAACUGUUUCUAAAGACAGGGUCUCACGAUGUUGCCCAGGGUCAAGGUCAGAUUUGUUAAUCCUUCUGACAUUGUCUCCUGUUGGAGUUCUGCGUGUUCAUUAGUUCAUCACCAUGCGUGUGAUUCACACACUGUACUCAGAAACAUUCUUUUUUUUUAUUUUUGUUUUUUUUUUUUUUUUGAGACGGAGUUUCUCUCUUGUCGCCUAGGCUGGAGUGCAAUGGCACGCACGAUCUCGGCUCACUGCAACCUCUACCUCCCAGGUUCAAGCAGUUCUCCUGCCUCAGCCUCCUGAGUAGCUAGGACUAUAGGUGUGCGCCACCACUCCCAGCUUAUUUUUGUAUUAGUAGAGACGGGGUUUCACCAUGUUGGCCAGGCUGGUCUCGAACCCCGGACCUCAGGUGAUCCACCUGCCUUGGCCUCCCAAAGUGCUGGGAUUAUAGGCAUGAGCCACCAUGCCCAGCCAGAAACAUUCUUUUUAUUCGUUUUUAUUUUAAUGGUAGUAAGGGCCCUGGUAGGGGAUUUGAACUGUUUCUUUCCACAGUGUGGAAUGAUGUCUAUAUACGUUACAGAAUGGAGAUAUAUAUGUAUAUAUAUAUAUAUUUUUUUUUUUUUUUGAGACAGUGUCUCACCCUGUGGCUCAGGCUGGAGUGCAGUGAUGUGAUCUCAGCUCACUGCAACCUCCACUUCCCGGGCUAAAGCAAUUCUCCCACCUCAGCCACCCAAAUAGCUGGGAUUACAGGCACCUGCCACCAUGCUGGCUAUCUUUUGUAUUUUUAGUACAGAUGGGGUUUCACCAUGUUGAUCAGGCUGGUCUCGAACUCCUGACCUCAAGCAAUCCACCCGCCUCGGCCUCCUGAAGUGCUGGGUUUACAGGUGUGAGCCACUGUGCCUGGCCCAGAAUGGAGUAGUUUGAUGCGGUCUUACAGAUAAACACUUCACAUUUGCAAGGGUUUGUGUGUGUGUGUGUGUGUGUGUGUGUGUGUGUGUGUGUGUGUGUGUGUGUGUGUGUGUGUGUUUUAACUCAUCUUUUCCAUUCUCUUCCCCACCCCUCCUUUCCCAUCUGCUACCCUCAGGCUACAGUUCGACUUCACAGAUAGAAAAAUAAAUAAAACCUACAGCUGGGCAUGGUGGUUCACGCCUAUAAUCCCAGCACUUUGGGAGGCCGAGGUGGGCCAAUCAUUUGAGGUCAGGAAUUUGAGACCAGCCUGACCAACAUGGUGAAACCCUGUUUCUACCAAAAAUACAAAUAAAUUAGCUGGUCGUGGUGGCCUGCCCCAGUAAUCCCAGCUACUUGGGAGGCUGAGGCAGGAGAAUCGCUUGAAUCAAGGAAGCGGAGGUUGUAGUGAGCCCAGAUCACGCCACUGCACUCCAGCCUGGGUGACAGAGCGAGACUCCGUCUCAAAAAAAAAAAAAAAAAAAAUUAGCUGGGCGUGCUGGCGAGUGCCUGUAAUCCCAGCUAUUCAGGAGGCUGAGACAGGCGAAUCACUUGAACCCAGAGGCAGAGAUUGCAGUGAGUGGAGAUCGGGCCACUGCACUCCAGCCCGGGCUACAGUGCGAGACUCCUUCUCAAAUGAAUGAAUAAAUAAAUAAAUAAAUAAAACCUACAUUAUUUACCUUGGCCCACUAUAAUUUUGCACUACAGGAUGGCAGCUCCGGAUGCUGCCCAGGACACUGGCCUAAAAGUGUGUCUGCAAGUGCUCUCACUCUUCAUUCAUUCAAGCUCUGCCUAGUACACACUUUUUGGAAACCAUUUCCCAAAAUGCAUGCUCUUAUACCACAUUUCCCACCCACCAGAUAACCGAAACAGUGCAUGUAACAUAGUUUGAAUUAAAGAAUAAUCUUGUUUUGGCCGGGCGCGGUGGCUCACGCCUGUAAUCCCAGCACUUUGGGAGGCCGAGGCGGGCAGAUCACAAGGUCAGGAGAUCAAGACCAUCCUGGCUAACACAGUGAAAUCCCGUCUCUACUAAAAAUACAAAAAAAUUAGCCAGGCGUGGUGGUGGGCUCCUGUAGUCCCAGCUACUCGGGAGCUGAGGCAGGAGAAUGGCGUGAACCUGGGAGGUGGAGCUUGCAGUGAGCCGAGAUCGCGCCACUGCCCUCCAGCCUGGGCGACAGAGCAAGACUCUGUCCAAAAAAAAAAAAAAAGAAGAAGAAACUUGUGUUGGUAGACAAAUAAAUUCAUGAACUGCAGAUAUAAAUAGAUCGAGCACUAGAUAUGUUUAUUAUCUCAAGCACAGCACUGCCUCCUGGUGCGGAUUAUAUUCCAGUUUUCAAAAGGAACCAUAGAAGGUACAAGCAAUACGAUUUUAUUUUGGAGGGAUUUCUAGCAUCAUAGGUCAAAGCCGUUAUUAAGUAUCAACUCUGAAAAAGCAACUAUAAAUACUGCAAAUCGACUAAGCCAGGGGACGCAAAUAUAUCCUGUGUGUUGUGUGCUGGACUGUGGUUGAGACUUCAUGGUCGUGCUCUGGGCUCAUGGGGGCAGCUGACUGCUCAUAAUUAAGAUUGCUGUUGCCGCUGCCUGUGUUCCAAAGAACACAAGAGGACAGAGCUAAGGUGUAUGAAUGCGGAAAAACUUGCAGAAACUAGAGCUAGUCUUCGGAUUGAAAUGAAUUACCAAUAAAGGGUUGGGAAACGGAUCAAGGGGAGGGAAGCGUUUUGAUGGCCCCUGCUCUGAGGUUCAGCCCAUUUGCAGUUGCUGAUAACCUUGUCAGGUCACCAGAUAAAGGCAAGUCUUGUCACCCUCAGGCACCUGGCUGCGAAGUAAUAAAACGGUUGCCUUAUCAUCUAAAGGUGGAGUUAGUCAAACCUCAGCCCAGGGUAAUUAUAGUAAACUGAAAUUGCCUGUCCUUUACAAAAAAAAAAGGGGAGGGAGAGAGAAAGGAAAAGGGCUUAAGGCAGGAAAUUGUGUUUGUCUUUCUCCUUGGAUUUAAAAAAGAAACGAGCAAAACAGCAAGAAGUUUUCCAGGGAGUGAGAAAAACAGCCCGGCUAGACUCCCCUCACCCUGGGUUAACAGGAUUGCUGACAGAUCAGGCCCACGUGAUGGUCAAGAAAAGAGGCUCACGCUGAUGAAAAUCCAAGAAAUCUUCUUAGGAGCCUUCCUUUCUAAAUGUAAAUGACUGAGUCAUUGCUUUGCUAAGGAGGGAAGGAAGUUACAAUCACACCAAGUGACUCAUUCAUUGCUGUUAGCUCCGGCAGUUGGAUAAAAAGUUUUAGCAAAAGCAGCAACAAAUGUACUUUAAAUACUAGCACAGUAAGGGAAUUCCUCUCUUUCAGGAUGAAUGCCAUCCACACAAAAGAGCUCCUGUUGACAUCUCAUUUACAAUCUCCCCCAGGACACAGACAAGACCCUUUCAAUAAACCCAGCUCAGAAACACCUAUUGUUCAAAAUCUUCAACUCGCCACAGGCUACCACCACUCCCUAUGGCUUUGCAAAAUUAAAGAUUUAGAAGCAGGAUGGGGACGGUGGAAGCUAUGAAAAGAGGCAGGAAAAAAGUCCCUUUGACCCGAUGCUAUCAGAGAGCGUGCAUGAAGAAGAAAGUUAAUGGUAUUUCCAUUUAUAUAAGAAGCGCCUAAGAAAUGCCUGUGACGUUCGUGAACUAGUGAUUGUGAAUUCCAAAUCUGAUGCCAACUUUAUGUGUAAAGAAGCUAACUCCUGCCAACAUCGUGGCUGAAUGAACAGCUGGGGCUAUGCUUAACCCAUUCCCAGCUUACAAAAGCCCCAUGGCAGCUGCAGCGAAGCAUCAGAUUAUGUGAUGCAAUGAAAUUCAAAUAUGAAAACCAUCUUGGAGGCCAGGCACAGUGGCUCACGCCUUUAAUCCCAGCACUUUGGGAGGCCGAAGCGGAUGGAUCAUUUGAGGUCAGAAAUUCAAGACCAGCCUGGCCAACAUGGUGAAACCCCGUCUCUACUAAAAAUACAAAAAUUAACUGGGCGUGAUGGUGCAUGCCUGUAAUCCCAUCUACUUGGGAGGCUGAGGCAUGACAAUCGCUUCAGCCUGGGAGGCGGAAGUUGUGGUGAGCCAAGAUCGCCCCACUGCACUCCAGCCUGGGCGACAGAGACACUGUCUCAAAAGAAAACCAUCUUGGAAACUCCCUGAGGGUUCUUUUUUGGGGGGGAAAGUUCGUACUUUUAAGAUGCUUUGGUUCCUACUGCAUGAAGAGCCCUGCAAUGAGUACGUGUGAAUGCAUAUGUUGAGAUGCCUUUUCCUAGUGCUUAACAUUAAAAAUUCAUCUCGGCCGGGCACGGUGCCUCACACCUGUAAUCCCAGCACUUUAGGAGGCUGAGGCGGGCGGAUCACCUGAGGUCGAGAGUUCGAGACCAGCCUGGCCAACAUGAAGAAACUCUAUCUCUACUAAAAAUACAAAAAAUUAAUCAGGCAUGGUGGCGCAUGCCUGUAAUCCCAGCUACUCGGGAGGCUGAGGCAGGAGAAUUGCUUGAACCUGGGAGGCGGAGGUUGCAGUGAACAGAGAUCACGCCAUUGUUCUCCAGCCUGGGCAACAACAGCAAAACUGUCUCAAAAAUAAAAUAAAAAAUUGUUUUAAAAAAUAAAAA